rnacentral:rRNA from 1 species
AGUGAACGCUGGCGGUAGGCCUAACACAUGCAAGUCGAACGGCAGCACAGUAAGCGCUUGCUCUUACGGGUGGCGAGUGGCGGACGGGUGAGGAAUACAUCGGAAUCUACUUUUUCGUGGGGGAUAACGUAGGGAAACUUACGCUAAUACCGCAUACGACCUACGGGUGAAAGCAGGGGAUCUUCGGACUUUGCGCGAUUGAAUGAGCCGAUGUCGGAUUAGCUAGUUGGCGGGGAAAAGGCCCACCAAGGCAACGAUCCGUAGCUGGUCUGAGAGGAUGGUCAGCCACACUGGAACUGAGACACGGUCCAGACUCCUACGGGAGGCAGCAGUGGGGAAUAUUGGACAAUGGGCGCAAGCCUGACCCAGCCAUACCGCGUGAGUGAAGAAGGCCUUCGGAUUGUAAAGCCCUUUUGUUGGGAAAGAAAAGCAGCAGGUUAAUACCCCGCUGUUCUGACGGUACCCAAAGAAAAAGCACCGGCUAACUUCGUG